UGGUAUCUUCAUUCAAUCCGUAAGUCAAUAUUGUCAUCAAUUCAUUAUAAUAAAUAUUAAACUAUCAUUGUAGUUGUGGCCUUUGUGACCUUAACUUAGGCAUAUUGGCCACAUUAAAGUACAAAUAUCAUGCAUGCAUCAAUAUGUAACGGACAAAGUUCAACAAUAUGUAACAUGAGCAAAAGUUUUCUUUAGGCAUACCUAAAAGAGAAGGAAAGAG